UGUCCUUUCUGUGAAACGGGUCUUCUGCCUGCAGCAGCUCGGUGGCUGCGUGGGGUGGGCGGUGGGCUUCGUGGUGCCUCGGGCUCGCAUCUGCUCUGAGAGAGGCCUCGCACCGUAGGACUCAAGAAAUAAGUGUCCGUAAUUUCUGCUUGUCGUGGGAUCCAUCACCACGUUUGGAGCAGAGGUGGGUUCUCGCUGGCCCAUCUCAGUAGCCGAGAUGAAGUUACUUUUGCUUGGUGCCACUGUAGUGGGGCCGCCGAGCUGCAGGGAUGUCCCCAAAGCUUGCUUUCUGUGUCGCAGGGAGCGGCGGCGCCCAGCAGAACGAGCCCUCUUGGGACUUUGUGUCACAGGUUAAUUCUGGGAUGUGUGGUACACGUGCGUGCCACCUUCAUGAGAAUUGUACUGUCUUUGAGCUUGCAGUAAUAAUCCCAAUUUCAUAACCUCCUGUCUGCAGUUAUUUUCCACCUUAAAAACUAGGCUUACUUACAGUAUAAGCAAGUAGUACUGCGAUAGAGAAUCAGAGAGAGAGCGGGCUGUCACUUCUGAUCCCUGCCUUUAGCUCAGAGCGGGGAUGCUGGGCUAAAAAGAAGGCCAGAGGCACUACGGCAGCAGGUACACCGGUAGGAAGCUGGCUUUAAGUGGAGAGAGGGUGUUCCUUCUGCCCCUUGCACAGCAUUCCUGCCUUGUUGAUCCCUUUAUUGGUUCCUUGCAGCUGGUGAAUGCUCUUAAAUGUUCUCGACUUGUAUGACGAUAAUUGUAGAUUCACCACAGGAUAUACAACUAAUCUGAAGAUUGUCUUAUUAAAUAGUUUUCCUAUAAGCAGUCUGCACUCAGGAAGUAUUGUAGUGUGUGGGGGCUUUCUUGUAGAUGAAGAUCUCACGUUUACUGAUAUCCCAGUCUUCCUCUGAACAGAAACCACAUGUGAAAAAUCUUCUAGAUCUUGUGAACCUAGUGGGCCACGGCUCUCAAUUGUAACCCCUAUUAUAAAUAAAACUGAUCAGGUUUAUCCUCUGGCAAGCCUAAUACUUUUUACCUGUUUCAGUGUCUGAGGGGCGUAUGUGCCAAGUUGCGUGAGAAGCUGCAUAACAUCUAAUAUUCCCCAGUUAGCAGUCUGUAUUACAGCUUCAUCGUUAACUUGGUUUGUGUUGUGGCUUAUUACGCUGCUUCAUGAAUGCAAAUGACAGUAGCUUUUCAUGUUCUUUUGGUUUGCGUGAUUCUGGUUAGGAAAAAAAAAGGCACAAAAUUCUUUUAGAAUGAGUACUUGGAAGUAGAUUUUCAAUCCAGACUCUCUGUGCGUUGCCUUGUCUGGGUGAGUUUGAUAGCAAAUGUUGUCCCCCCCGCCUUUCAUCUCUGUAUUCUGUUACUAAUGGAUGUUCAGAAAAAAAUCUCUACUGAUUCGUUCUGAUCUUCUGUUAAUAACAGAAUGCUGAAGCACUGUGCCUUUUGAUUUAAAAUCUGUCUCUACGAUACAUCUAUUAGUAAUUGUUUGUUUUACUGCAGAAGCCCUGUUGAUAGUUGAAAGAUGGUUUGAAGUGUCUGUAGCACAGAUGGCUUGUAUAGAGACAGUGUGGGAUAACAAAAUACAGGAAGCCAUAACAGAGACUUGCUUUCUCAUUUGAUGUGUUGAAAACAGCCAGUCUUCUGAAUAACCAGCUGAGGAAAAGGCAAAGAAUUUCAGGAAGAGCUCCGUAGACAUGGUGAAAUACCAACCAGAAGACCAAAGCUUGUGUCAAAUGAAUAGUUUUCUGGUCUAUUGUUCUGAGCAGUUUCUGUUGAGAUUUAAUACAACAGACUGGGUGAAUGUAAACUGAAUAACUUAGGGGCUGUACUUGGCAGAAAUUUAGUUUCUGUUUCCUGGGAAUGAAGGUGAAAGUAAAAAAUAAAGCUGAAAACCAAACCUGAAACUACUACAUAGUACCUCAACUCCCCAGAAACCUAAGAAGGGACAAAGCUAGUAUUCAAAAUACUCGUUUAGAGAUUUGUACUUUUUGCUUAGUAAGAGCAUGCUGAUCCCCUGGUAUGUUUUGGUUUUAGAUUUUUAAGAAAGCAGCUGCAGACAUUUCUGGUUUGCUCACAAGCUCUUUAUGUUUUUUCCAAGUGAAAAGAGCUGAGAAGUUCUUACUUGAGUUAGUACAUCUGAGCUGGUGUGUAAUAUCCGUGCCUUUGUGUUGCAACAAAGAUAUUGUCAGCAGAGUUUUUCUUUCUGCAUGUUUAUUUCAGGUGAUAACUGAAAAUGAAAGCGACGCCUUUUCUUUUCUACAAAAGUUGUUUUCCUGGUUACACGUGUUACAAGCGUUCUGACUUCUGUUGGAAUGUGUGCUUACCUGCGAAUAAUUGUAUAGUGCAGUGUUUAUAGAGUACAUUUCAUUUUGAAAGCCAAAUAAAUUUAUAUUGCAAACACAUUCCAAUGGUAUCUCACUUAAUAGAUUUGAAAUUACAUAGGCAGACCCCCGUCAGCUUUGUUGCAUCUCCUUCUAUGUGCUUUAAUCACAUCACUAGCACUGAAUAAGACACGAGAAUAGCUGUAAAACUUCCAGGAGUGUGUUGGGCACCUCACAGGCACGGUUCAGUGCUCUUGGUAGGUCCGUGUACCAGCCAUUUUGCAGAAAAUGAAGUUGUUUUGUUGCCACUGCAUUUGCUGUCUUUAGGAGUGGAAUUACAUCCGCUGUAUUAAACCAUUUCAAGUGUCUCAUCUAAAUGCCGAAUGUUGUGCUCUGACAACAGAGGCAUUCUCAGCACUACAGCUUUAAUACAUCUUCACUGUUGAAAUUGCUUCGUGGUGCAAUCUUUCCUCUGUGUUCACUGUGUAAAAGUGGCUUUCUGUGUAAGCCUUAAAAUAGGAUGCUGCAUUCUUCCACCAUAACCUAGACAUACACCGUAUUAUGAACCGCAAAUCUGUACAUACAACUUUUAGAGCACUUCAAAGUAGUGAAACCACUAGCGAGUAAUUCUCGUACACGUACUUCUGAACAUUCCUUAAUUCUUUUCCAAAGCAAUUCUCCUUUUUCAUGCAUUUCAUGUUGAAAUUGAAGUAGCGAAACAGCCAAUUUUGCUACAGUACAUCCUUGUCUGAAAGGCAUUUGGAAAUGAACAGCUGAAAUAAAUCCCUCUUGUAACAUACUUUCAGAAUUUUUCAUUUUCCUUAAGCGACGAUGAAUGUUGACACUCAUAGCUUUUAGAUUUAAAAAAACAUGUUGAAAAAAGCACUUAUAUUUUUUUCCUGCAUUAUUUCCUAUAUGUUUUUCUGUGCUACGAAAAAUGGAGCCAUAUGUUUCUAGAACUUUAGAAUAUAUUUUAAAAGCUUGUAAAGGACUUUGCACAUCUGCUUUAUAAGGAGUUCAAUCUCUAUAAGGUUGCCUUCGCUUUGAAAAAAGAUAUCAUGAAAUUACUUUUAGAGGUGGCUUUAGACAGGGAGCUAUUAGAGCUCUCUUGUUUGAUGUUUUGGUUAUGUGGUUCUUCCACAGGACUUUAUGUAUUUUAGAUAUUCCAGCCUUAUGGUUUCCAGUGCUGAACUUACCAAGUUAUAUUGCAUCUGUAACUCCUGCAAGGACCACAGGCAAAAUAUUGGUUCCUACAAAAUCUUGCAGUAUAAUUAAGGUAUUUUUAUUGACUACUGAGUCUUUCCUGAGAAAUGCUGAACAUCUUCCCCUUUCUGACGAAGGCCAGGGUGGUACGGCGUAUUGAAAUGCCCUCGUUUCUUUCAUCUCCCUCCAGAGCUUUUCUCGUUCAGUACGUUUCAUUACAUGUAAACGCCUGUCCUAUUUUUUUCCUGCAGUUGUCCUACUUCAUAGCUUUCACUUGUUGGAUGGCUUAGUCACUACUACAGUGCAGUGCAGUGCGCUUGGAGCCGUACAGUGCGCCCACUCCUGUGUGCUGAAACACAGGUAAACACCGCCGGCGCUGCUCCUGCACCAGAUGGGCUCAGCAGCAGCUCGUGCAACUGUAAAUACGGACUCUGCCCUGGAGUGAAGAGGUGCCCGAGCUGAGCAGCUUUCCAGAUUUUGUUGCUGCUUUUCACAUGGGAGAUUUUCUAAAUAAACACUUAAAAGAGCUUCUUAUUAGAAAUAGUUGCAAUCCAGCCUUCUUAAGCAGGGAUUGUAUUCAUGCUUAAUUAGGCUUUCCUCUCUUUAAUGCUUAUAAAAUAAAGCCCUUUCAAACUUGCAGUUGAUGUGACCUGAAGGUGACUGGAUCUUUAUAAUGGUUGGCUUUUCAAGCCUGUUGGAUUAAACAGAUGCAGAGCAGAAAUCUGUAAAAUAGGCUGGCUACCCUGAGCCAGAAAUUUGGAGACAGUUUUCUUGGGAAAACAAAAUGUAUUACCUAAUAUUGGCCGAAGACUCUCUACUUUUUUUUUUUUUUUAAAUAUGAAUCUCUAAUUGCACCACUUGGUUUCCUAUUUUGUCUCCGCAAAAGCCUUUUCUUCCGUCUGCUUUCUGUUUCAAUGACCAGGAGAGGCGAUAAACAACAACUGUUGAGUGUUGUGACAUACUUUGCUGUGUGACUGGCACCUAGGAAUGCAGACAGAAUUACCUGUGAGGCUCUGAACUGCUGACGCUGGUGUUUUAACUAAGGCUGGAAUGCUGAGGUGUAUCUUGGGGAAUGGGAGGAAAAAACACCUCAGAAAGGCUCUGAGUGGAAAUGGUUAAGCAGGGUAAGAUCAGGGUAACGUUAAUGCCAGGCAGUAAUUGUGGGCUUGCUGUUGGCAAAGGAUUGGAGAAGGGCAGCGUGUUAGUCACUGUGAGCCAUGUGGAUGUUUGGAAAACACUUUUUUCGGGAUCUCCAUCUCUCUGUAGUGGUAGGAAGAAGAUUUUAGGAAACGACUGUGAGACUGGGGUCACGCAGCUUUCCCUGCUCCCAACACUGUUUUCCUCUUUCUUGACUAAAAAGAGCAGCCAGGAAGCGAUCCCCUAGGUAAAACUGCUUUGCUUGGCAUCUUUAAAUACACACAUGCAUACGUGUACGUGACGAACUGCUGCUGGAACGCUGGGCUUGCGGCAGGAACUGGCUCAGCAGUACUGGGAGGAAAAGCAGCGGGCGUACAAACCUGACCCGCGUGGGACCCCCAAGGGACAGGAGGUGGCCUGGGAGCGGUGGUGGACCUUGUGCAGUGGGUGCUGGUGAGCUUGCUGCCCUGGGGACGCAUCAGCAGUACGAGGCCAUCCCUCUUCUGCCAGCUGAGACCUUUCUGUGCAGUCUGGCAGCUGUCGGGUCGUUGUUGAAGUUGCUCGGUAAACUGAGUCCUGGAAACAAUUCUGAGCCGUUCGUGUAGGAGUGAAAGACAUCAUGGGGAUUUCUGCGUGACUCACGGGAAAGUGUAGCUAAAUUAGACCUCACUGAGCCUGGUCUUAAAUACUGAAAAUUUUCAGCAGGAGUGAGAAAGGGCUAGCAACUAUCAGAGCUGAGCCCUGUCUGUCACGUUUUCCUGUUCUAUACUAUGCAGUCAAACAGAGCUUGUUCGGUGUGUGCCUGUCUUCCUUACAGCUUCAAUUUCCUUCCUAUGGGCAUGGUCUCUGUCCUGCUAAAAUUGGGCUCUGUCAUUAGCUGUCUUCACCACGUAGUGCUGAAGUGGCCAGUUCUUCACUGAGUUCAGUGCUGAUGUGGGGAGCGUGGUGGGACUUAGCUUUUUAUCACAGACAGAACUAACAGCCACAUCUGUAGAGGGAUGCUCUCUUGCUGUAGGUUGUGAAUCCUGGGACAUAAAAUGUGGGGUCAAUUAAUGCUUUAGGACACCCGAGCAGAACUGGUUGGGAAAACCCUAUGGUCUGCGUGAAAAAAUAGUUGUGGCCCAAGUCUGUUUUUGUAAUAUAAUCGUCCUGUGAAGAUGAGAUCUGGGAAGGAAGGAAAUGAGAGAAGUGUUUAUCACCACGCUCUGCAGAGGAGACGACUGUCAUAUUGAUCAGAGUGGUUGUAUGCAGCACGAUGCUUUGACAGUUGUCUAAUGAAUUGGUGUGCUCUGCCUGUCCGGGAGCGUUUUCUUGGAGUACAACAGCGAAGGUUAAUUGCUGGAUAACGAGUAAGUGCUACAAGGGGUUGGGCAAUAACUCUGCUGCUUUCAGAAUACUAGAAAAGAUGAAUGACUGAACACGGUGAAUCAUCCCUGAUGUGUUUUUUUUUUUUUUUUUUUUUUUCAGAGAAAUAGCCAAUGUUCCUUUGAGACUUGCUGAAUAAGCAGUUGCUGCAUUUUUCUGGCUGAGAGUGAAAUAGUCUCUUCCUACUUCCCAAAAUGCAGUAACAGUCACAAAAUUGGAAAAGCCACGUUAGUUGUGAAUUUGUGUGUCUGCUUAAUUGGUUUCUCUUAGAAAAUUUCCAAAUGUUAUUAAGCUGGUUGAAUUAGAAUCAGCUCUGUGGAGUUUUCUUAUCAUUGCUGAGGAUUUGGGCUUCUUGUUUUACAGGAAAUUACCUUGAUUAUAAUGUCAAAUACUGUGGUUUUCAUGCUAACUAGUCUCAAAUUUGUUCUCAUGGAUAGGGGGUUCAAAGUUGCUACAGAUAUUCGAUAGCUGUUGCUGAUAAAGGAUAUUUUAUGUGAAUUUGAGAAAAUGAAAUAGCUUUCUUGCCUGAACAGCAUUGUGGUUCAGAAGGAAACUCCAGUAAAUAAAUCCUGGGUGAGCUAAGGCUGAACAGGCAAGGUAACAUCGUCUGAUGAGUGUUGCCUUCGGCUCUUGCCUGCAGUAGUCCUGAUUCUUGCUUUAUGCUACUUCCCUUUCAUGGUGAUAAGUGUUAAAUGGAAGUUUAAUUCUAAGGUGGGAUUCUCUGAUGUGCUUCACUUUGUUUGCUGGGACACUUUUAUUCUUCAGUGUAUAAGCUCUUAAUUAAUUUCAUUUGAAAGAGAAGAACUAGUUCUGUGUGGUUCUGAAGGCAACUUCCCCAAAAAAACAGAAGACAUUUCAUUGUACUUGAACGAGGUUAAUAAUAAAUGUCUGUGCUGGAUUUCUGACUGUGAGGCUGAAUUUAUAAUACUUCAUGGAUCAAACUCUCAACUGAUCGAGUUAUCUGUGCGGUGUGCGGGUACGUCCCACAUUUGUAGGUACCGUUAUUGUUACAGAAUGGAAAAAUUGGGCAUGUAAACUUAAGGUGCUGGAAAUGCUUUUGUUUUUAACUUAAUUAUUGUUUAUUUGUGAUAAUUUGGAAUGCGUCUUUAAUAUCUGAAGAAAACCUUGUCCCUAAUGCUCCGUUCUGUUCUUUUCAUUUCUGCGAGACUCCUGUUGAUGUAAGCUGUUCAGCACAAUGAGGUGGUGUUUGAAAUUGAAAAGUUAUAUCAGGUGCUAUUGAAAGUUAGUACCGGGGUGAAUGAAGCCAUGUGAGCUGAGUGUGGUUCUGCCAUCCAUGGCUGAGCAGAGCGGAGAAGAUGGGUUUGCUGAAAAGGCUGUGGGACGUGCUCCGGGCCUGCAGCUUCCAACUUGGGAGGAAAGUGUAAAAGCAUAGGUGGCUGGGUGGCUUCUUCCAUCUCUUCUGGCUCUGGUCGCUCCUUGACACUCCUCAGUGCUCAGCACUGCCUUUUCUUGAGCAGCACCAUGCCAUUGUGACUCUUCGUCUUCAUGUCUUUCAAUGGACAUUAUGUGGCCAGAUCUCUGUAGCAAGACUUUUU